rnacentral:rRNA from 1 species
AGGACGAACGCUGGCGGCGUGCUUAACACAUGCAAGUCGAACGGAAAGGCCCUUCGGGGUACUCGAGUGGCGAACGGGUGAGUAACACGUGGGUGAUCUGCCCUGCACUUUGGGAUAAGCCUGGGAAACUGGGUCUAAUACCGAAUAGGACCACGGGAUGCAUGUCCUGUGGUGGAAAGCUUUUGCGGUGUGGGAUGGGCCCGCGGCCUAUCAGCUUGUUGGUGGGGUGAUGGCCUACCAAGGCGACGACGGGUA